UCGAGGAUCAUUCGCAAUGCGCGAAAGCGUGACGAUGCGACGCCGCGUGCAGGAUGAAGGCCUUCGGGUCGUAAACUGCUGUCGUGAGGGAACAAUAGCUGCAGUGCUAAUAACACGGCGGAAUGAUAGUACCUCAGGAGGAAGCCACGGCUAACUCUGUGCCAGCAGCCGCGGUAAUACAGAGGUGGCGAGCGUUGUUCGGAUUUACUGGGCGUAAAGGGUGCGUAGGCGGUUUCGUGUGUCGGGUGUGAAAUCUCACUGAUCAUCGGUGAAAUUGCACUCGAAACUGCGAGGCUAGAGUACAGGAGGGGAGAGUGGAAUUCUUGGUGUAGCGGUGAAAUGCGUAGAUAUCAAGAGGGACACCGGUGGCGAAGGCGGCUCUCUGGAAUGAUACUGACGCUGAGGCACGAAAGCUGGGGGAGCAAACAGG
rnacentral:rRNA from 1 species